UACCCUUGACAUGUACGGAAGCCUCUCGAGAGGGAGGCGUGCCCGAAAGGGAGCCGUAACACAGGUGCUGCAUGGCUGUCGUCAGCUCGUGUCGUGAGAUGUUGGGUUAAGUCCCGCAACGAGCGCAACCCUUGUCAUUAGUUGCUACAUUCAGUUGGGCACUCUAAUGAGACUGCCGGUGACAAACCGGAGGAAGGUGGGGAUGACGUCUGAGAGUACGUCC
rnacentral:misc_RNA from 1 species